UUUUAACAACUUUUAGACCUUCUUCCUCAAUUUACUUUCGAAAUAGAACAGAAAGAAGUCACGCUGUUGCCUGCCAAAGCUCACGUCGCACCUUACCAGGAAAUAGACGACACCGGUCACAACAACGUAUGACAUGUUAAUUAAGGAGUUGGCGGGGGUCCACUCGGGAGGAUUGGUGCGCGAAGUGACCAGCGCACGCCAAAGCAAAGUGGUAAAGGUGUCUGUCUGUCGGGCCCUAUGGGGGGUCGGUACCGUUUACACGCGCUGAGGUGCUGUUGAUGGUGUGCACUCGUAUGUCGAUGUAAUAAUCAAAAUGGUGAAGGCGUGUGUGGCUGUUGGUUGCACUAACAGAGAAGAUGGAAGGAGAGACUUGAAGUUUUACCGUAUUCCGAGGGAUCCAAAGAGGAGAGCGAAAUGGACGGCUGCAAAUCGACGUGAAAACUGGGCACCAAAAAAUCACCACAGACUAUGUAGUAGUCAUUUUAUAUCCGGUAAGAUGCAUUUAAGAUAUACUUAGAGGGUUUUGGGCUGACAAAUAACCACAAUUAAGAUCAUUGCUAGGCUAAUCGCCGACAACAUACACGUAUGUAUGUAGUGAGAGUGCUAUCGCUAAACCAUAUAAACAUUAAAAGCCUUAACUCCAUUGACAAACGACAUGAAAUACAUUAGACUUGACAGUGGAUGUUAGCAAUAACAAAAGAUUUUGAAUUGAAAAUUUCGUAACUCACCUUUCCAAGCACAAGAUAGAUUCCUGCCGAAUUUUCGUGGACGAGGACCUGUUUCACCCAACCAGCAACCAAGUAUUUAUAAGCCUCCAAGCUCUUGAAGUUUUUCAAAUUUUCGUGAGAAUAGGCUGAUUUUGUGUGGACAAGAUAAUUGUAAAUAUCAGCGUAGCAAAUGUCAGGCAGACAGGGCGAAGACAGUGGGUCGAAAAACAUUGAUUUGGGCAUCAAAUAUGGAUCUGGCGACUGUAUAGAACGAAGCUUUUCCACAUAACGCCUUUUAUGCAACACAUCCAGUGAGUUUACGGCAUCAGAAAGCACCGGGUCUUCCAUGAAAUGCAUUUUAAAUUCCUCGAUCAAUUGAAACCAAUGCUAAUACAGAGACAAAAUGACGGACAAGUGGGCGGAACCAUACAGCGAGCACGUGGUUUUGUGACGUCGGUGGGUAGGGUCUAUAAGUACCCUAUAAUGUACAAGGGUGUGACCCAAAAUCCACAUUGCCAUCCUCUGAAAACAAUCGACUGUGAAUACUCAUCUUUCAGCGCCAUUGACGUCUCACGCCGUCUAUAGCGACUGACGAGUUAACAAAGAAGAGACCCGAAAAUACCGCAAAAUGAAUAGGAAGUGAGUGAAAAUCUACAGGAACUGACCCAACCCCAGGCAAUUUCUCCAGAAAUGUCAUCUUCUAGUUUUGACAUUCAAUGGGUUAACUUCGCCCCCAGCCUUGAUUUCCAUUCCCAUCAGAGAUUAAAAAGCCCCCCCGCGAGCUACAGGGUGACCUUAACCCCCGCGCGCGGUGAGGUCACUUAACCUUGAACCCAAUUACAAGAUAAGGUUACUUAAGCGUGACCCGCCAUUUCAUGGCAGGGGCGCCGUAAAAAGCCGAUACGCCGCUCUGUUAAUUCGCCCGGGCCAUAAAGAAUACUGCCGCCGCCGCCGCUUCGAUUUGGCGUGCAGCGUGCAAGUCAGCAAUAAGAUGGCUGCUGCGUUGUCAGGUGCUUCGACCUGCAUUCAUUUGUGUCUGUAACAAAGCUCCCCACAUAAAAUAUCCAUAUAAAAGUACAAAUAUAUGAUAUGAAUAAAAUAAUAUAAACAUAAAAUCAUGCAACACAUGUUCUUUUGUCUGUUUUAUAUAGUAUUAAUUUUAAAAAAUAUAUGGCGGAAAACACUCAGGUGACUUGAAGUUCUGGUCCGAGAGCCCCAAUUUGGCCAAAUUUCAAAAUUGUCCUAUUUGCAUGCGUGAUACACCAUUGGAAAGCUUAAAAUCUCAAUUUUGUGGGGGAAGAAAAAUUUUGAACAGGAGGGCAUUUUUUUUUUAAAAAUAUUUUUUUAAACAGCAAAACUAACGGGAGGCGAGAGCACGCGAGAGCAAAAUUUAAAGACGCCACGAUUUUAACGAUAUAUUAUCGUGUACUUACCUUGUUUCGAUCCAAAAACUCCAUGUAGCAUGUAUCACCGAGUGUCAAGACACAGCUGUGAAUGGCCACAGACGGAUAUUUGGGGGAUUUUAUGGUUGAAACAUGGUGAUAUAACAAGGGUCGCGAUGCAGAAAUCGCACACAACAAGGAGUAGUUGAGAUUUUCUUUUUCAUAUCGUUACCCUUUUAAAUGUUAUUUUUCAAAUUUUCUUUGUUUGGAUUGAUUAUUUAUCAUCUAACAUAUCGGGGAAAAUGCGACAGUAACAAAAAAAAAUACAAUUAAGCAAUAGUUAUGAGGUAGCUAUCCGUGACUUUUUUACAGACACCAAAUUUUUCAUUGUGAAGUAAUUUGUUUAAAAGUUCAAAAUAUGCGAGUGAAUUAUUUUUUAAAGUCGUUUUUUUUUUUAAACGAAAUAUUAGACAUCAAUGAAUGAUUCUAAGCUAAAACUGUCAGACACUUUGAGUAAUAAAUACGAUUACUUCUUUUUAUGGCUAGGUUGAAACAAAAGUGGUUGCGCUACGUCAGUAAACGGGGGUUUCCAGGGUAAAACGGCCAAAUUUAAAAUAGUUCGGGGACUUCAUCUGCCAUGAAUCUGCUAUGGCAGCAUAUAGACAUAUUGUUCUAUCAAACACAACAGUUCUUUUGGCUUAAAAUACAGCAGUUUCAGUUUCAGAGGAGUGCAAGAGCAGAAACUACUUUUUCAGUCUUGUCUGUGUUUUCUGCCAUAUAUAUGGCGGAAAACACUCAGGUGACUUCCGCUCUGAGACCCCCAAUUCUGGCCAAAUUUCAAAAUUGUCCGAUAUGCAUGUGUAAUACAUCAUUGGAAGGCUUCAAAUCUCAAUUUUCUGGGGGAAGACAAAUUUUCAACAGGAGGGCAUUAAAAAAAAAAAAAAAAUUAUAAACAGCAAAACCCUAAAUGGAGGCGAGAGCACGCGAGAGCAGAAUUACAGACGCCAUGACUUUAACGAGAUGUUGUCGCAUACUUACCCUGUUUCGAUCCAAAAACUCCACGUAGCAUGUAUCACUGAGUGUCAAGACACAGCCGUGAAUGGCCACAGCUGGAUUUUGGGGGGAUUUUAUGGGUGAAACAUGGUCAUAUAACAAGGGUCGCGAUGCAGAAAUUGCAGACAUCAGGGAGUGGUCGAGAUGUUCGUUUUCAUAUAUUUACCCUUUCAAACGUCUUUUUAUUUCCAAUUUUUCUUUGUUUGGAUCGAUUAUUUAUCAUUAGAAUAUCAGAGAAAAUGCAACAGUAACAAAAAAAAUACAAUUGAGCGAUAGUUAUGAGGUAGAUAUCCGUGACUGCCAAAUGUCAAAAUACAUUUUGCACAUUGCAAAAAAAAAAAAAAAAAAAGCCACAUGGCAAAAUCAAUUUUGCCACAUGGCAAAAAAAUGCCACAUGUUGUAAUACAUUUUGGACAUUGCAAAAAAACAAAAAAAACAAAAAAAAAAGCCACGUUGCAAAAUCCAUUUUGCCACAUGGCAAAAAAAAAAUGCCGCAUAGAGAAAUCAAUUUUGCCACAUGGCAAAAAAAAUGCCACAUACCAAAAAAAAAAAUGCCACAUUUAAUAAUACAUUUUGGACAUUGCAAAAAAAAAAAAAAACCCAGAUGGCAAAAUCCAUUUUGCCACAUGGCAAAAAAAAAAAAAGCCACAUGGCAAAAUCCAUUUUGUCACAUGGCAAAAAAAAUGCCACGUACCAAAGAAAUGCCACAUGGCAAAAUGAAUUUUGGCAUAUGGCAAAAACAAAAUGCCACAUGGCAAAAUCCAUUUUGCCACAUGGCAAAAAAAUGCCACAUUUAAUAAUACAUUUUGGACAUGGCAAAAAAAAAAUGCCACAUGGCAAAAUCCAUUUUGCCACAUGGCAAAAACAAUGCCACAUGGCAAAUACCACUUUUGGUUCUCGGCCCUACUGUUUUUCCCCUCCUCAGACAAAACUUUAUGCCUCUUUUGUUGCUCUGCCAUCUUUGCAGAAUUUGCACGAAAGCGUUCGCAUCAAUUUCCGUCUUUAUAAUGAAUGGGGAAAGGUUGAAGUGAUGUGUGCUGUAAAUCAGUCAGCACAAUUGGAGAUUUUUUUGUGUGGCAGGGUUCCUGCCACCCUCCUCAAAUUUAAUUAGUGCUGGUGAAAGCAAUACAGACCCCCUCAAGAUAUAAAAGUGGUGUCAUUCAACAAGUUUUUACUCGACAUAUUAUCACAAAUGUUAUAAAAGUAUUUUAUAAAGGUUGAGAAGUUACAUAGUGUUGCUUUAAACAUGGAAAAACGAAGAGUUUAACUAUUUUUGUACUUUUUCAAAUGUUCUCUUUUCCCCUAGUAAAUACAAUAUCAAUAACUGCCUGGAACCUGCACUCUUUUUCUAGUGUUCCAUUUAUUUUAAAAAAAAAAAAACUACCCACACAUGAACAAAUGCUUUCAACAUACACACAUUUUCCCAUGUGUAUUGAUGUCAUAGUUGUUACAGCAGCUAAAAAUACUUCGUUUUAAUACAGCCGCCUGGUUCUACCGCAACCCGGGGUCAAACUGGAGACAAAAGAUCAGCUGAGUGCUAAGAAGAGGUGUGUGUGUGUGUGUGUGUGUUGUUAGAAAAUGAACAUGCUCCAGCCCUGGCCCGCUGACCGCCCGUUGAACCUCUCCCUGAACUCGGCAUGAACCCAAACUUGACGAUCUCCACUCAGAGAGUGACACGCACACACACACGUGUACUUACUGUCAAAGCACUUACAGUCUUAGCACACUUCAUACAUGAACCAUUUUUGGAAGUGGAUUUACAGGACAAAGCAUUUUUUUUUCCCUCUGAGGGAAAAAAAAAAUAAAAGAGCGAAAUUUGCUUGCUUCAAGCAAUUUGUUAAUCCGAGUUGUCAUUUAUCAUUAAAAAAAGGAUAUUUUGUGUAUUUGAAUAUGUUCGCAUAGACUUCAUAAUGUAUUGAGUGACGGGACACGGGGCACGGGGCCGAUAAAUAGGGGGCCGGCAUUUUUGGCGAGGCCGUCAAAGCUGACCGAGUCAACAUCACAGACAAAGAGCUUUUUUGGUUGAAAAUUCUUGUGAAUAAAUGCAUAAAUCCCUGAAUUCUUUAUAGAUAUGGACGUAAAAAAGUCUCGAUUCAUGGUUAAAAGCAAAAACAAAAACAAAAAAAAAAACCGUGCAGUUACCAUUUAUUAUACGUAAAUAUGUCGAAGUACAAUGCUAGUCUGUUAGUGAAUGUAGCUAGCGGCCGCCUGAUGUAAACAGCUUUUGCGGUGAAAAUUUUUGUGAAUAAAUGCUUAAAUUCCCGAAGUCUUUAUAGAUAUGGGCGUAAAACAGUCUGGAUUCUUGGUUAAAAGCAAAAAAAAAAAAAAAAAAAAAACGUGCAGUUAAUCUUUAUUUUACGUAAAUAUGUCGAAGUGCAAUGAUAGUUUGUUAGUGAAUAUAGCUAGCAGCUACCUGAUGUAAUAAACAGAGCUUUUCCGGUGAAAAUUCUUGUGAAUAAAUGCUUAAAUCCCCAAAUUCUUCAUGGAAUCAAAACAGUCUCGAUUCUUGGUUAAAAGCAAAAAAAAAAAAAUAAAAAAAACAUGCAGUUAGCAUUUAUUUUACGUAAAUAUGUUGAAGUACAAUGCUAGUCUGUUAGUGAAUGUAGCUAGCUGCCGCCUGAUGUAAACAGAGCUUUUGCGGUGAAAAUUCUUGUGAAUAAAUGCUUAAAUUCCUGAAGUCUUUAUAGAUAUGGGCGUAAAACAGUCUCGAUUCUUGGUUAAAAGCAAUAAAAAAAACAACAACAACCGUGCAGUUCGCAUUUAUUUUAUGUAAAUAUGUUGAAGUACAAUGCUAGUCUGUUAGUGAAUGUAGCUAGCUGCCGCCUGAAGUAAACAGAGCUUUUGCGGUGAAAAUUCUUGUGAAUAAAUGCUUAAAUUCCCGAAGUCUUUCUAGAUAUGGGCGUAAAACAGUCUUGAUUCUUGGUUAAAAGCAAAAAAAUAAAAAUAAAUAAAACAACCGUGCAGUUAGCAUUCAUUGUACGUAAAUAUGUCAAAGUGCAAUGAUAGUCUGUUAGUGAAUGUGGCUAGCUGCUACCUGAUGUAAACAGAGCUUUUCCAGUGAAAAUUAUUGUGAAUAAAGGCUUAAAUCCUCGAAUUCUUUAUAGAUAUGGACGUAAAACACUCUCAAUUCUUGGUUAAAAGCAAAAACAAAAAAACAAAAACAAACGUGCAGUUAGUGUUUAUUUUACAUAAGUAUGUCGAAGUACAAUGCUAGUCUGUUUAUGAAUGUAGCUAGCAGCCGCCUGAUGUAAACAGAGCUUUUCCAGUGAAAAUUCUUGAGAAUAAAUGCUUAAAUCCCCAAUUUCGUUAUAGAUAUAGAUAUGGACGUAAAACAGCCUUGAUACUUGGUUUAAAGCAAAAAAAUUGUUCAGUUAGCGUUUAUUUUGCGUAAAUAUGUCGAAGUGCAAUGAUAGUCUGUUAGUGAAUGUAGCUAGCAGCUACCUGAUGUAAAUAGAGCUUUUCCGGUAAAAAUUUUUGUGAAUAAAUGCUUAAAUCCCUGAAUUCUUUAUAGAUAUGGACGUAAAAAAGUCUCGAUUCUUGGUUAAAAGCAAAAAAACAAAACAAAACAAAAAACGUUCGGUUAGUGUUUAUUUUACGUAAAUAUGUCGAAGUGCAAUGAUAGUAUGUUAGUGAAUGUAGCUAGCAGCUAUCUGAUGUAUACAGAGCUUUUGCGGUGAAAAUUCUUGUGAAUAAAUGCUUAAAUUCCCGAAGUCUUUAUAGAUAUGGACGUAAAACAUUCUUGAUUCUUGGUUAAAAGCAAAAAAAAAAAAACGUGCAGUUAGCGUUUAUUUUACGUAAAUAUGUCGAAGUUCAAUGAUAGUCUGUUAGUGAAUGUAGCUAGCAGCUACCUGAUGUAAACAGAGCUUUUGCGGUGAAAAUGUGAAAAUUCUUGUGAAUAAAUGCUUAAAUUCCCGAAGUCUUUAUAGAUAUGGACGUAAAACAUUAUUGAUUCUUGGUUAAAAGCAAAAAAAAAACAACGUGCAGUUAGCGUUUAUUUUACGUAAAUAUGUCGAAGUUCAAUGAUAGUCUGUUAGUGAAUGUAGCUAGCAGCUACCUGAUGUAAACAGAGCUUUUGCGGUGAAAAUUCUUGUGAAUAAAUGCUUAAAUUCCCGAAGUCUUGAUAGAUAUGGACGUAAAACAUUCUCGAUUCUUGGUUAAAAGCAAAAAUAAAAAUAAAAAAAACAAAAAAAACGUGCAGUUAGCAUUUAUUUUGCGUAAAUAUGUCGAAGUGCAAUGAUAGUCUGUUAGUGAAUGUAGCUAGCAACUACCUGAUGUAAACAGAGCUUUUCCGGUGAAAAUUAUUGUCAACAAAUGCUUAAAUCCUCGAAGUCUUCAUAGAUAUGGACAUAAAACACUCUCAAUUCUUGGUUAAAAGGAAAAAAAAUAAAUAAAAAAAACGUGCAGUUAGCGUUUAUUUUACGUAAAUAUGUCGAAGUUCAAUGAUAGUCUGUUAGUGAAUGUUGCUAGCAGCUAUCUGAUGUAAACAGAGCUUUUGCGGUGAAAAUUCUUGUGAAUAAAUGCUUAAAUUACCGAAGUCUUGAUAGAUAUGGACGUAAAACAUUCUUGAUUCUUAGUUAAAAGCAAAAAAAUAAAAAUAAAAACCGUGCAGUUAGCAUUUAUUUUGCGUAAAUAUGUCGAAGUGCAAUGAUAGUCUGUUAGUGAAUGUAGCUAGCAGCUACCUGAUGUAAAUUAUUGCUUUUAAAUGGAUUUUCAGCUUUGUGCAUUGGAGCUAAAUUUAAUCAGAACCCAGAGAUGUCUCUUUUGAAAAAAAAAAAAAAAAAACGUAAAAGAUAUAUAAAUACGUCUUUGGGACAAUGAAACAAAAAUCGAAUGGAUUUAUACGUUUUUGGGAGCAAAUGAGUUAAAGACACCAUGAUUCUAACGAGAUAUUAUUGCGUACUUGCCUUGUUUCGGUUCAAAAACUUGCACUAGCAUGUAUCACCGAGUGUCAAGACACAGCUGUGAAUGGCCACAGCUGGAUUUUGGGGGGAUUUUAUGGGUGAAACACGGUAAUAUAACAAUGGUCUCGAUGCAGAAAUCGCAGACAUCAAGGAGUGGUCAAGAUUUUCUUUUUCAUAUAUUUUCCCUUUUAAACGUUUUUAUUUUUUAAAUUUUUUCUUUGUUUGGAUCGAUUAUUUAUCAUCUAACAUAUCGGGGAAAAUGCGACAGUAACAAAAAAAAAUACAAUGAAGCAAUAGGUAUAAGUUUGAUAUCCGUGGCUUAUUUACAGACACUAUUUUUUUUUUCAUUGUGACGUAAUUUGUGUCAAAGUUUGAAAUAUGCGAGUGAAUAGUUUUUUUUUAAAGUCUUUUUUUUUUUUUUUUUUUAAACACAACAACAACUAAAUAUUAGACAUCAAUUAAUUAUUCUAAGCUAAAAAUGAUAGACAUUUCAAAUAAUAAAGGAAUAAAGGAGGCUUGAUAUUUUUUUCUUCUUUUUGUCUUAAAUCUAAAUAAAUAAAUAAAUAAAAAUUGAAUAAGUACUUAUAGCACAUUAAAAAGAAAAUUUCUAUUUUUUUGUUUUAAUUAAACAAAACAAAAAAAGAAAAAAUUUGUUUUAAUUAAAAUAAAAUGAAUCAUUUUUUUCAUUUUUUUAAUUCCUUUAUUAAAUAUGUAACUCAAGAAAAAAAAUUGAAAAAAAUAAAAGUAAA